rnacentral:rRNA from 1 species
GACGAACGCUGGCGGCGUGCUUAACACAUGCAAGUCGAACGGUAAGGCCCUUCGGGGUACACGAGUGGCGAACGGGUGAGUAACACGUGGGUGAUCUGCCCUGCACUUCGGGAUAAGCCUGGGAAACUGGGUCUAAUACCGGAUAGGACUCCUGGCUUAUUGGUUGGGGGUGGCAAGCUUUUGCGGUGUGGGAUGGGCCCGCGGCCUAUCAGCUUGUUGGUGGGGUAAUGGCCUACCAAGGCGACGACGGCUAGCCGGCCUGAGAGGGUGACCGGUCACACUGGGACUGAGAUACGGCCCAGACUCCUACGGGAGGCAGCAGUGGGGAAUAUUGCACAAUGGGCGCAAGCCUGAUGCAGCGACGCCGCGUGAGGGAUGACGGCCUUCGGGUUGUAAACCUCUUUCAGCUAUGACGAAGCGCAAGUGACGGUAGUAGCAGAAGAAGGACCGGCCAACUACGUGCCAGCCGCCGCCGUAA